GACGAACGCUGGCGGCGUGCUUAACACAUGCAAGUCGAACGGAAAGGCCCUGCUUUUGUGGGGUGCUCGAGUGGCGAACGGGUGAGUAACACGUGAGUAACCUGCCCUUGACUUUGGGAUAACUUCAGGAAACUGGGGCUAAUACCGGAUAGGUGCUCCUGCUGCAUGGCGGGGGUUGGAAAGUUUCGGCGGUUGGGGAUGGACUCGCGGCUUAUCAGCUUGUUGGUGGGGUAGUGGCUUACCAAGGCUUUGACGGGUAGCCGGCCUGAGAGGGUGACCGGCCACAUUGGGACUGAGAUACGGCCCAGACUCCUACGGGAGGCAGCAGUGGGGAAUAUUGCACAAUGGGCGGAAGCCUGAUGCAGCAACGCCGCGUGCGGGAUGACGGCCUUCGGGUUGUAAACCGCUUUCGCCUGUGACGAAGCGUGAGUGACGGUAAUGGGUAAAGAAGCACCGGCUAACUACGUG
rnacentral:rRNA from 1 species